GGGGUUGUAGUGUAGUGGCUAUCACGCGUCAUUUGCAAGGGUCCACUGAUGGAAGUACUAAAAACUUGACGAGGUCCCGGGUUCAAUCCCCGGCAGCUCCA